CGAGCGGGGUGAGGUGCUUCGGUACUGAUCCUAGCGGCGGACGGGUGAGUAAUGCUUAGGAAUCUGCCAUUUAGUGGGGGACAACAUUCCGAAAGGGAUGCUAAUACCGCAUACGUCCUACGGGAGAAAGCAGGGGAUCUUCGGACCUUGCGCUAAACGAUGAGCCUAAGUCGGAUUAGCUAGUUGGUGGGGUAAAGGCCUACCAAGGCGACGAUCUGUAGCGGGUCUGAGAGGAUGAUCCGCCACACUGGGACUGAGACACGGCCCAGACUCCUACGGGAGGCAGCAGUGGGGAAUAUUGGACAAUGGGGGGAACCCUGAUCCAGCCAUGCCGCGUGUGUGAAGAAGGCCUUUUGGUUGUAAAGCACUUUAAGCGAGGAGGAGGCUACCUAGAUUAAUACUCUGGGAUAGUGGACGUUACUCGCAGAAUAAGCACCGGCUAACUCUGUGCCAGCAGCCGCGGUAAUACAGAGGGUGCGAGCGUUAAUCGGAUUUACUGGGCGUAAAGCGUGCGUAGGCGGCUGAUUAAGUCGGAUGUGAAAUCCCUGAGCUUAACUUAGGAAUUGCAUUCGAUACUGGUCAGCUAGAGUAUGGGAGAGGAUGGUAGAAUUCCAGGUGUAGCGGUGAAAUGCGUAGAGAUCUG
rnacentral:rRNA from 1 species